rnacentral:rRNA from 1 species
AUGGAAUUUGAGUCCUCUAAUGAGGACUACAGUUAUGAUGAAGAUAGUGAUGGGAACAUUCAGAGAAAGAGGAGCAAAUAUCCAAGAUUUGACCCAGAAACUGAUAUUCCACAUUUCAGUUUGGGUAUGGUUUUCAGAAGCAAAAAUCAAUUUGUCAAGGCUAUUAAGAGAUAUGGUCUUGCAACCAAGAGAAUCAUGCGAUUCAAGAAGUCAGAGGGGGCAAGGGUGAGAGUUAAAUGUGGAUGGCCUGGUUGUCCAUGGAUUAUCUAUGCAGCAAAGACAAGCAGAUGUUCAAGGUUUUAAAUUAUCACCUUUGAUGAUGACCAUCAGUGUGCAUAGAACAGAGAGAACAGAUUGGUCACUGCGAAGGUCAUUGCAGGCAGGUAUGAGCAUUUCAUAUUGGCCAAUCCAACGUGGAAAAUUGAUAGCAUAAAAGCUACUGUACUUCAAGACAUGUUUGUUGAUGCCUCAAUUUCAAAAUGCAAGGCAGCAAAUUUUUUUGUAAUGAACAAGUUAUUGUGUGGUAUGAGGAGUGAGUAUACUAAAGUGUUUGACUAUCAGUUAGAGCUGCUUAGGAGCAACCCUGGCAGUACAGUUGAUGUAUGCUUGGAUCCACAUGCAAAAUAA